rnacentral:rRNA from 1 species
UACAGAGGUCCCAAGCGUUGUUCGGAUUCAUUGGGCGUAAAGGGUGCGUAGGCGGCGCGGUAAGUCGGGUGUGAAAUCUCGGGGCUUAACUCCGAAACUGCAUUCGAUACUGCCGUGCUUGAGGACUGGAGAGGAGACUGGAAUUUACGGUGUAGCGGUGAAAUGCGUAGAUAUCGUAAGGAAGACCAGUGGCGAAGGCGGGUCUCUGGACAGUUCCUGACGCUGAGGCGCGAGAGCGUGGGGAGCAAACAGG